AAGUCGUAACAAGGUAUCUGUAGGUGAACCUGCAGAUGGAUCAUUUAAGAGUUAGGGCGCUCGCAAGAGGCCUGCCACUCAUUACAAACACAUGUGCACUAGAAACCGAGGAAGCUUAAUAAGGGACUUCACCGUCUCUUUGCUAGCCCCCUUACCAAAAACACUUUGUAUUAAAACUUAGGAUGAUGAUGUCAAUACUAUUGAAAACGAAAGUAAAA
rnacentral:misc_RNA from 1 species